UACGGAGGGUGCAAGCGUUGCUCGGAUUUAUUGGGCGUAAAGGGUAGGUAGGUGGUCUCAUUUGUCUGAGGUGAAAGCCUUGAGCUUAACUCAAGAAGUGCCUCAGAAACGGUGAGACUAGAGUCCUGGAGAGGGUCGUGGAAUUCCCGGUGUAGCGGUGAAAUGCGUAGAGAUCGGGAGGAACACCAGAGGCGAAAGCGGCGACCUGGACAGGUACUGACACUCAACUACGAAAGCGUGGGGAGCAAACAGG
rnacentral:rRNA from 1 species